GUUCAAAAUGAGUGAUUCAUUUUAGUGGAAGUGAACAGAGUCGCGCGUGACACUCGCACCGGAUUACGAUGGGGUGUUUCGAGGUGUUAUUGACGCUCACAUUGUAUUUGUCGUCACGUCUAAUGUUAUACUUUUUCUGACGAAGCCUAAGAUCAGGCAACCAGAACCUCCUCACUGUUCCCUUUUCAAGACUUAAGCCAAGACUUCAAGACUUUCCACUCGGUGAUAUCAUACGCAAGCAUGGACUUCAGUUCCACUGCUAUGCAGAUGAUAUUCAAAUCUACCUCACCACCAGCUCCAAUGCUCCAUCUCUGCCUGACUCACUCACAGCAUGUAUCAGGGACAUUAAAUAUUGGAUGUCCCGGAAUUUUCUUAAAUUGAAUGAUAAAAAAACUGAGAUAUUAUUGAUUGGUUCUAUUGCCACAGUCAAAACGAUGAACCAGUCUUUUGAUGUUCAUGGAACUCACAUUAAGUCUUCGUCAUCGAUCCGAAACCUUGGGGUUUUAUUCGAUUCAAAUCUUUUGGCCCUCACAUUUCUUCUCUUGUUAAAAACUCGUCUCCGAUCUUCUCUCACCAUAGCUGAUACUGAAACCUUAAUUCAUGCACUAAUCACUUCACGUCUGCACUAUUGCAAUGCCUUAUUUCUUGGUCUUCCAAAAAAACUUAUCGCAAGAUUACAAUAUGUUCAAAACUCAGCAGCAAGAGUUCUCACCUCCACUAGGCGCUCUGCUCACAUUACUCCACUGCUUCAUGACCUUCACUGGCUACCUGUAGCAUCACGUAUACACUUUAAGGUAUUGCUUCUAACGUUCAAAGCAUUAAAUGGUCUUGCUCCUCAAUAUCUGUCUGACCUACUUUCCCCUUACCGCCCUGUCCGGUCCCUUAGAUCAGCUGAACUUGGUUUGUUGUCCAUCGCUCCUUUCCGUCUGUCUACUGUUGGUGGAAGGUCAUUUAGUAUAAAUGCUCAAUUAUGGAAUUCGCUGCCUCCUACACUACGAAACAUCACAUCUGUGGGUGCAUUUAAGUCCCAGUUAAAAACAUAUCUAUUUAACAAGCAUUUCGGAUAAUGCAAUUAUAUGUAUUAUGUGCUGUGUAUAUGUAAGUGUCUGAAUGUACUGUAUUUGUGAAAUGUAAAGCGACCUUGAGCUAUGGAAAGGCACUAUAUAAAUAAAACUCCUUCUUCUUCUUAAGCGUAGAGAGGAUCAAGCUUUCUCAGUGAUUGGGUCACCCCUCUCUGUCCAUUUUUAAGUCCCUUUUAAAAAUGUAUGUUUUCCUUGGCAUAUCCAUAGUUUUGCCUUUCAUUUUAAUUUCUUAUUGUUCUUUAACUGUUCUUAUUAUUGCUUGUUUUAGCGUGUAUUAUUAUAUUGUUUAAUUCUGUUUUGCUUUUAUUAUCUCGUCUUAGUAUAAUUUUUUUCUGUGUGUUUUUACUAACACUCUUAUUGUACAGCACUUUGGUCAGUCUUAUGGCUGUUUUAAACGUGCUAUGUAAAUAAAGUGAACUUGAACUUGUUUUAUACAAGAAAAAAAAAGAUACUUAUGUGAAAGAUUAUUCAUAAAACCUGCUCUGGGAAAAAAUGUAUCAUUUAUUUUAACACAAAACAGAAAAGACAAUUGCAAUAAAUUCUGAAGUAUUUUAUUAAACACUUUAAUAAACAA